rnacentral:rRNA from 1 species
UCAGCUCGUGUUGUGAAUGUUGGUUAGUCCCGCAACGAGCGCAACCCUUAUCCUUUGUUGCCAGCGAGUAAUGUCGGGGAACUCAAGGAGACUGCCGGUGAUAAACCGGAGGAAGGUGGGGAUGACGUCAAGUCAUCAUGGCCCUUACGAGUAGGGCUACACACGUGCUACAAUGGCAUAUACAAAGAGAAGCGAACUCGCGAGAGCAAGCGGACCUCAUAAAGUAUGUCGUAGUCCGGAUUGGAGUCUGCAACUCGACUCCAUGAAGUCGGAAUCGCUAGUAAUCGUAGAUCAGAAUGCUACGGUGAAUACGUUCCCGGGCCUU